CCUACGGGGGGCAGCAGUGGGGAAUUUUGGACAAUGGGCGAAAGCCUGAUCCAGCAAUGCCGCGUGCAGGAAGAAGGCCUUCGGGUUGUAAACUGCUUUUGUACGGAACGAAACGGUCUGCUUUAAUACAGUGGGCUAAUGACGGUACCGUAAGAAUAAGCACCGGCUAACUACGUGCCAGCAGCCGCGGUAAUACGUAGGGUGCGAGCGUUAAUCGGAAUUACUGGGCGUAAAGCGUGCGCAGGCGGUUAUGUAAGACAGUUGUGAAAUCCCCGGGCUCAACCUGGGAAUUGCAUCUGUGACUGCAUAGCUAGAGUACGGUAGAGGGGGAUGGAAUUCCGCGUGUAGCAGUGAAAUGCGUAGAUAUGCGGAGGAACACCGAUGGCGAAGGCAAUCCCCUGGACCUGUACUGACGCUCAUGCACGAAAGCGUGGGGAGCAAACAGGAUUAGAUACCCGAGUAGUC
rnacentral:rRNA from 1 species